AAUCAACGCUGGCGGCGUGCCUCAGACAUGCAAGUCGAACGGUUAAAGCUUUCUUCGGAAAGUGUAUAAAGUGGCGUACGGGAGAGUAACACGUAAGUAAUCUACCCUCGGGUGGGGAAUAACUUAAGGAAACUUAAGCUAAUACCGCAUAAUGCAGUUUACUGUUAAAGCAUUUAUGCGCCUGGGGAGGAGCUUGCGGCAGAUUAGCUAGUUGGUAAGGUAACGGCUUACCAAGGCGACGAUCUGUAGCCGGUCUAAGAGGACGGUCGGUCUCACUGACACUGAAUAACGGGUCAGACUCCUACGGGAGGCAGCAGUCGGGAAUUUUGGGCAAUGGGCGAAAGCCUGACCCAGCAACGCCGCGUGAAGGAUGAAGUCUUUCGGGAUGUAAACUUCGGAAAUAUGGGAAGAAUAAAUGACGGUACCAUAUCUAAGGUCCGGCUAACUACGUGCCAGCAGCCGCGGUAA
rnacentral:rRNA from 1 species